UUACUUAUGAAAUAACCCGAUAAAUAAAGCAACAGAAUUUAGUGUUCCGCAAGUUUUAGUAUGCAUUUGUUAACUCAUUUGUAAAAUAUUUAAAAAAUAGAAGGAUUCAAAGUUUUACGUGCGUGUACGUGCGUAAGAAAAACGCAACAGUGGAAAUCAGCCUUAUUGAAAUUUAAUGUUCCAGGGGGGGGUGGGGUGAACGCCUCUCUAGGGCACUUGCUAAGAACAUGGACGCCAGAUUUCCGCAGUAAAAACUACCUUGCGUUUUUUUCGCGAAGUGAGACCUCUGCAUGGUUGGUACUCUGUGCCCAGUGUUUCGUGGCUAAGACCGUAAUAUAACCGAUAGGCACAAAGCUCGUUUAGGUUCCCACAAACAUUUCAUUUUAAACCUAAAUGCAAUUUUUUUAGUCCCUAGGUUAGUUUGAUAAGGUAAUUUGGCCUCCAUCUUCUGACUUUACAAGUCAUUAAUGGUAGCACAAUGGAAGAAUUUUAAAUUCUAUAUCAUACUAUGCAUUAUGCACAUAUAUUUACAUCAACGAUAUAAACAGACACAGCCCUCGAAAACCAUCAAAAUUGAGGUCGGCAAAAAAAUGCCGACCUAAAUCUGACCUAGGUCGGCACGUCUCGGCAUUUUUUUUUAAAUCUGUUUCCACGUCUUGAGCAUUACUUUAGUAAUCACGCAUUUACGAAUCAUUGAAAUUGGAACACAACUGGAACGUUACCUCCAGCCGGAAAAUUCAAAAGUUGAAGCUAAAUUUUAUCUCCAGACGCGCGAAAUUUCAUCUUCAUCUUGCCGAAGAAUGCUGACCUCGUUUUCGCGGGCUGUGCAGACAAAAGCUCUAUCCUCCAUUUCAGUUUGGGUUUCAGCAAGCCAAUUUCAAAACUAUUCAUACUUAUAGUGGCAAGCAAACUGAACUACACAUGUAAAAAUCUCACAACUUGUCGACAGGAAUGUGUUCGUAACGGACUUGUGGCAAACUUGUCAUCAAGUUGUAUAAUAAUGUUAUUUGUUAGUUGUAUAAUGCUGUUAUUUUAUCAAGUCGCUACAAGGUUGUCACUCACAACUUGUUGAAUUGUAGGGGCCGGUUGUUCAAAGGUGGAUUAGCGCUAACCCUGGGUUAAAAUUUAACCUGCUGUUUUAGUUUGUAAAUUUCUGCACAUCUGUUUAUUUCAAAACUUCAGAGAAGUAAACUCCGAUCCAGACAAAAUCUCUGAAGAAAUAUUUCCAAAUUUAAUUAUAUAGACAAGCUGUCAGGAAGUUUGCUUUGAAUUUUAGCUUAACCUGGGGUUAAGCUAAUAAGCUAACCCACCUUUGAACAACCGGCCCCAGGACGAUAACAAGUUGUUGGAACAACUUGUAACAAGUCUGUUGAGCUCAACAACCUUGUAGCAAGUUGUCAACAAGCUGGGAACAGGCAGUACGAACACAUCCUGUUGACAAGUUGUUGGAACAGCAUUGCUAUAAGUCUGC
rnacentral:lncRNA from 1 species